rnacentral:rRNA from 1 species
GGGUUGUGAGGUUAAGCGACUAAGCGUACACGGUGGAUGCCCUGGCAGUCAGAGGCGAUGAAGGACGUGCUAAUCUGCGAAAAGCGUCGGUAAGGUGAUAUGAACCGUUAUAGCCGGCGAUGUCCGAAUGGGGAAACCCAGUGUGAUUCGUCACACUAUCGUUAACUGAAUACAUAGGUUAACGAGGCGAACCGGGGGAACUGAAACAUCUAAGUACCCCGAGGAAAAGAAAUCAACCGAGAUUCCCCCAGUAGCGGCGAGCGAACGGGGAGCAGCCCAGAGUCUGAAUCAGCUUGUGUGUUAGUGGAACGGUCUGGAAAGUCCGACGGUACAGGGUGAUAGUCCCGUACACCAAAAUGCACAGGCUGUGAACUCGAAGAGUAGGGCGGGACACGUGGUAUCCUGUCUGAAUAUGGGGGGACCAUCCUCCAAGGCUAAAUACUCCUGACUGACCGAUAGUGAACCAGUACCGUGAGGGAAAGGCGAAAAGAACCCCGGCGAGGGGAGUGAAAAAGAACCUGAAACCGUGUACGUACAAGCAGUGGGAGCACCUUCGGGUGUGACUGCGUACCUUUUGUAUAAUGGGUCAGCGACUUAUAUUCUGUAGCAAGGUUAACCGUAUAGGGGAGCCGCAGGGAAACCGAGUCUUAACUGGGCGUUAAGUUGCAGGGUAUAGACCCGAAACCCGGUGAUCUAGCCAUGGGCAGGUUGAAGGUUGGGUAACACUAACUGGAGGACCGAACCGACUAAUGUUGAAAAAUUAGCGGAUGACUUGUGGCUGGGGGUGAAAGGCCAAUCAAACCGGGAGAUAGCUGGUUCUCCCCGAAAGCUAUUUAGGUAGCGCCUCGUGAAUUCAUCUUCGGGGGUAGAGCACUGUUUCGGCUAGGGGGUCAUCCCGACUUACCAACCCGAUGCAAACUACGAAUACCGAAGAAUGUUAUCACGGGAGACACACGGCGGGUGCUAACGUCCGUCGUGAAGAGGGAAACAACCCAGACCGCCAGCUAAGGUCCCAAAGUCAUGGUUAAGUGGGAAACGAUGUGGGAAGGCACAGACAGCCAGGAUGUUGGCUUAGAAGCAGCCAUCAUUUAAAGAAAGCGUAAUAGCUCACUGGUCGAGUCGGCCUGCGCGGAAGAUGUAACGGGGCUAAACCAUGCACCGAAGCUGCGGCAGCGACACUAUGUGUUGUUGGGUAGGGGAGCGUUCUGUAAGCCUGCGAAGGUGUGCUGUGAGGCAUGCUGGAGGUAUCAGAAGUGCGAAUGCUGACAUAAGUAACGAUAAAGCGGGUGAAAAGCCCGCUCGCCGGAAGACCAAGGGUUCCUGUCCAACGUUAAUCGGGGCAGGGUGAGUCGACCCCUAAGGCGAGGCCGAAAGGCGUAGUCGAUGGGAAACAGGUUAAUAUUCCUGUACUUGGUGUUACUGCGAAGGGGGGACGGAGAAGGCUAUGUUAGCCGGGCGACGGUUGUCCCGGUUUAAGCAUGUAGGCUGGUUGUCCAGGCAAAUCCGGAUAAUCAAGGCUGAGGUGUGAUGACGAGGCACUACGGUGCUGAAGUAACAAAUGCCCUGCUUCCAGGAAAAGCCUCUAAGCAUCAGGUAACAUCAAAUCGUACCCCAAACCGACACAGGUGGUCAGGUAGAGAAUACCAAGGCGCUUGAGAGAACUCGGGUGAAGGAACUAGGCAAAAUGGUGCCGUAACUUCGGGAGAAGGCACGCUGGUGUGUAGGUGAAGUCCCUGCGGAUGGAGCUGAGACCAGUCGAAGAUACCAGCUGGCUGCAACUGUUUAUUAAAAACACAGCACUGUGCAAACACGAAAGUGGACGUAUACGGUGUGACGCCUGCCCGGUGCCGGAAGGUUAAUUGAUGGGGUUAUCCGUAAGGAGAAGCUCUUGAUCGAAGCCCCGGUAAACGGCGGCCGUAACUAUAACGGUCCUAAGGUAGCGAAAUUCCUUGUCGGGUAAGUUCCGACCUGCACGAAUGGCGUAAUGAUGGCCAGGCUGUCUCCACCCGAGACUCAGUGAAAUUGAACUCGCUGUGAAGAUGCAGUGUACCCGCGGCAAGACGGAAAGACCCCGUGAACCUUUACUAUAGCUUGACACUGAACAUUGAGCCUUGAUGUGUAGGAUAGGUGGGAGGCUUUGAAGCGUGGACGCCAGUCUGCGUGGAGCCAACCUUGAAAUACCACCCUUUAAUGUUUGAUGUUCUAACGUUGGCCCCUGACCGGGGUUGCGGACAGUGUCUGGUGGGUAGUUUGACUGGGGCGGUCUCCUCCCAAAGCGUAACGGAGGAGCACGAAGGUUAGCUAAUCCUGGUCGGACAUCAGGAGGUUAGUGCAAUGGCAUAAGCUAGCUUGACUGCGAGCGUGACGGCGCGAGCAGGUGCGAAAGCAGGUCAUAGUGAUCCGGUGGUUCUGAAUGGAAGGGCCAUCGCUCAACGGAUAAAAGGUACUCCGGGGAUAACAGGCUGAUACCGCCCAAGAGUUCAUAUCGACGGCGGUGUUUGGCACCUCGAUGUCGGCUCAUCACAUCCUGGGGCUGAAGUAGGUCCCAAGGGUAUGGCUGUUCGCCAUUUAAAGUGGUACGCGAGCUGGGUUUAGAACGUCGUGAGACAGUUCGGUCCCUAUCUGCCGUGGGCGCUGGAGAAUUGAGGGGGGCUGCUCCUAGUACGAGAGGACCGGAGUGGACGCAUCACUGGUGUUCGGGUUGUCAUGCCAAUGGCACUGCCCGGUAGCUAAAUGCGGAAGAGAUAAGUGCUGAAAGCAUCUAAGCACGAAACUUGCCCCGAGAUGAGUUCUCCCUGAGACUUUAAGUCUCCUGAAGGAACGUUGAAGACGACGACGUUGAUAGGCCGGGUGUGUAAGCGCAGCGAUGCGUUGAGCUAACCGGUACUAAUGAACCGUGAGGCUUAACCUUACAACGCCGAAG